AUUUUUGCAAUCAACAGCCUUAUGGCCAAGUUUUCCACAAACUCUACAGUUGUAAUUAAAAAAUUUACCUACAUUAGAACUAGUGAUGUUGCGGAUAUUCGCAUCCGCAUCCGCAAUUGCGAAGCUUCCGCAUCGAUAGCGACAUUCGCAUCCGCAAUUAUCAAUGCGGAUGUUCAUGCAGAUGCAGAUGUACGCUGGUCGCGACAAGAAAAAAAUUGGGUGGGGCUGGCGAGUGACGCGUGCCGUGGACAUGUGCUGAUUGACCAAUAGGAGCGAAGAUUUCGGCGACAAGAUCCGACGCGUUUGUUAUUGUUUAUCAUUUGUUUCUCGUAAAU
rnacentral:lncRNA from 1 species